GACGAACGCUGGCGGCGUGCCUAAUACAUGCAAGUUGAGCGCUGAAGGUUGGUACUUGUACCAACUGGAUGUGCAGCGCACGUGUGAGUCACGCGUGGGGAAUCUGCCUUUGAGCGGGGUACAACCUUUGGAAACGAAUGCUUAUCCCGCAUAAAAACUUUAAACACAAGUUUUAUGUUUGAAAUAUGCCAUUGCAUCACUCAAAGAUGAUCCCUCGUUGUAUUAGCUAGUUGGUGAGGUAAAGGCUCACCAAGGCGAUGAUACAUAGCCGACCUGAGAGGAUGAGCGGCCACAUUGGGACGGAGACACGGCCCAAACGCCUACGGGAGGCAGCAGUAGUGAAUCGGCGGCAAGGGACGAAAGUCUGACCGAGAAACGCCGCGGGAGUGAAGAAGGUUGUCGGAUCGGAAAACUCGGUUGGUAGAGAAGAACGUUGGUGAGAGUGGAAAGCACAGCAAGUGACGGUAACUACCCAGAAAGGGACGGCUAACUACGUG
rnacentral:rRNA from 1 species